CUAUUCUAAUCCCAAUUCCAAUGUAAUCGAUCACCCUCCUCUUCGCCCUAUUAAUACCCUCCUCCUUCUCUCCCCAAUCCCCUACCACAACCGUCUCCAUCUCUCCUUGGCAGAAGGAUUUUUUUGACGUCCCCGGUCGCCAUGAACGCCCUCGCCGCCACGAGCCGCAACUUCCGGCAGGCCGCCCGGAUCCUCGGCCUCGAUUCCAAGCUGGAGAAGAGCCUGUUGAUCCCCUUCAGGGAGAUCAAGGUGGAGUGCACGAUCCCCAAGGAUGAUGGCACCUUGGCUUCGUACGUUGGGUUUAGAGUCCAGCAUGACAAUGCCCGUGGGCCGAUGAAGGGAGGGAUUCGGUAUCACCACGAGGUUGACCCUGAUGAGGUAAAUGCUCUGGCUCAACUCAUGACAUGGAAGACAGCUGUAGCAGACAUACCAUAUGGUGGAGCAAAGGGUGGAAUUGGAUGUUCCCCAAGUGAACUAAGUAAGAGUGAGCUGGAACGCCUGACUCGUGUCUUCACACAGAAGAUUCAUGACCUUAUUGGAAUUCAUACAGAUGUUCCAGCACCCGACAUGGGAACAAAUGCCCAGACGAUGGCUUGGAUCCUAGACGAGUACUCCAAGUUCCAUGGACACUCGCCAGCUGUUGUGACAGGAAAGCCAAUAGAUCUUGGUGGAUCCUUAGGUAGGGAAGCUGCUACAGGACGAGGUGUCAUAUAUGCAACUAAGUCUUUAUUGGCUGAACAUGGGAAAUCUAUUUCAGGAUCGACCUUUGUUAUCCAGGGUUUUGGAAAUGUUGGCUCAUGGGCUGCACAAAUCCUUCACGAGGAAGGGGGCAAGGUGAUUGCAAUUGGAGAUAUUACUGGUGCUAUCAAAAAUCCUAAUGGCAUAGACAUUCCUGCUUUGAUUAAGCAUAGAAGUGAGGGUGGUGCUGUGAAGGACUUCAAAGGGGCAGAUCCACUGGAUAAGGAUGAGUUGCUUGUGCAUGAAUGUGAUGUUCUCAUUCCUAGUGCCUUGGGUGGUGUACUGAACAGGGAUAAUGCUGCCAAUGUGAAGGCUAAAUACAUUGUUGAAGCCGCCAAUCAUCCAACUGAUCCUGAAGCAGAUGAGAUAUUUGCCAAAAAGGGCAUUCCAGUACUACCUGACAUUUAUGCAAAUGCUGGGGGUGUAACUGUCAGCUACUUCGAGUGGGUUCAGAAUAUCCAAGGAUUCAUGUGGGAUGAAGAGAAGGUGAACAUGGAGCUUCACAAGUACAUGAGGAGUGCUUUCAACAAUAUCAAGGCAAUGUGCAAGACCCAUGACUGCAACCUUCGCAUGGGAGCAUUUACCCUGGGCGUAAAUAGGGUUGCUCGUGCAACUCUCCUGAGGGGCUGGGAAGCAUAGGAAAUGCACUUUGAUUCUACUUCAAUCAAUCAAUGGAUUUGGCGGAAAAAAACCGAAAGGAAUGGAAUAGUGAUGUCGACGGCAUGCGAACAAAGUCAAAUUGUUGACCGACUCAUAUGGCUUGGCUUGUUGCCUCCUCCAACACCUGCCUUGCGUUGGGGAGGUCGGCCUCGACCCUGGCGCUUGUAAAAUAAGAAGCCAUCGUUGCCAAUUCGGUUGGUGUGCAGCAUCCCUUGCUCUGCUUCGUCGUGCUUGCCCUUGCCAUUGCUGGCGUCGCCAGUUGCCUCUGUCUGAGGCCAACGUUGAGCCCCAUCUACCGAUGGGGGUUCUUCUUCGUUAGCAGUCCCCAGUGGCCCUUGACAUGGCAAUGCAAGUACGUUCUCCAUUCCUUCGACAUUGUCUGUCUGGUUCAGAAGGCAGAGUCUCGGCAUGUGGAGGCGUCGAAAGGCCGUCGCCGACGUUACUAUAUCCGAUGGGCUUUGGCUGCGACGAAGAUUGGGCGCGUCUGCGGUCUCCAAGGAGUUCGUAGGCACCGGGGAGACGCCGCCUUCUUGUGAGGCCUUCCAUGCGUUCCUCCAAGUCUGCGAACGGAGGAACCAUCUCCACCGUCACCGCCACCGCCAUCAUCUUGCUGCUCCACAACGUUAGCUGCUUUGGAAGAGAAGCUGGGCAAUUCCCGAGUGCGCUCCACAACGUUAGCUGCUUUGCGCCUGUCCUCGUCGAUCGACAUCAUGUCGAAUUAGGAAAUACAUCUAUCACACAAGGGAAGAAUAGUAUACGAUAAAAUCUUUUAUGUUUCAUUCAAAGUUUUUUAUAAUUUUAA